AAUAGUUUGAGUGGAAAGCGAUACAACAAUAAUUGUUCUGACUUUAAGUAGUUUCAUAUGAUGUCUCAAUGGAAUACUACAUCCACCACAUAGGUCAACUUUCACCCUCCAACCAUCGAGACAUCAUACUUCCGUGAAUCGAUUUAUCAGAAUAGCAGUUUACAUUGGGGAUUGUCGUGUCAGAGCAAGUAACUAAUCUGGGCAAAAUGUUACAUUAAGCAAGAUUAAGAAUGAAUAUUAUUAAGAACACAAGCAUGGGAGAAUUUAAGAAGAAUAUUAAAGAGGCCAUUUGUAAAGUGAAUGAAUACUACUACGCUAAUCAAGUCAAUUUUGAGGUACAAGUCGUAAUUUUGGAAAAGCGCAUACUGUAGAUUUUAUACCCUCCACCAUUGUAAAAAAAUUCUAAGACGUAGAAUUCUAAGACGAUCUAGCGGUGUCCAUCUUCCUGUUGUAAUCACGCGGACGUUACCUCCCCAUGUUCUGUAUUUUCAUGAUUUUAGGACAUUAUUUACCGGAAUUAUUUCAAAUUUCGUAUUUGGAGUUCGUAAUGGGUACUAUCAGAUCCACGUCUUCGUAUAUCCCCCAUAUAACGGUUUUCAUUUAAGUGAUAGUUCUCGGAACUU